rnacentral:rRNA from 1 species
GUAGGGAAUCUUGCGCAAUGGGCGAAAGCCUGACGCAGCCAUACCGCGUGAAUGAUGAAGGUCUUAGGAUUGUAAAAUUCUUUCACCGGGGACGAUAAUGACGGUACCCGGAGAAGAAGCUCCGGCUAACUUCGUGCCAGCAGCCGCGGUAAUACGAAGGGGGCUAGCGUUGCUCGGAAUUACUGGGCGUAAAGGGCGCGUAGGCGGACAGCUUAGUCAGAGGUGAAAGCCCAGGGCUCAACCUUGGAAUUGCCUUUGAUACUGGCUGUCUUGAGUUUGGGAGAGGUGAGUGGAACUCCGAGUGUAGAGGCGAAAUUCGUAGAUAUUCGGAAGAACACCAGUGGCGAAGGCGACUCACUGGCCCAAUACUGACGCUGAGGCGCGAAAGCGUGGGGAGCAAACAGGAUUAGAAACCCUGGUAGUCC